GAGGUCUAAGUCUGCACCUUUCUGACGGAAAAGGACCAAAGAAAGGUAGAGUGUGACUGAAAGGACAGAGGGCCAGCCGCAGAGUCAUGAACUCACUGUAUAUUUGGGGACAUCCAUUCUUCUUUCCAAGCCUUCUCAUGUGCAUCGUAAUCCUGGCCUCCAUUACUCAUGGGCCUAAUGUAAAAAUUCAGCAGACUUUUUUUGUGAGUGUGUCUUUUUAGGGCCGCAACUGAGGCAUAUGUGAGGCUAGGGGUCGAAUCAGAACCUUAGCUGCUGGCCUACACCACAGCCAGAGCAAAGCAGGAUCCGAGCUGUGUCUGCAAGCUACACCACAGCUCACAGCAACACCGGAUCCUUAACUCACUGAGUGAGGCCAGUGAUCAAACCUGCGUCCUCAUGGAUGCUAGUCAGAUUCAAUUCCAUUGAGCCACGGUGGGAACUCCAAUUCAACAGACAUUUACCAAACCUUAGGGCAAUCUAGGGAUUAUCACAUGUUCUGGGGACAGAGAGUCUAGAAUUUGUAUCCCGGCUCCACCAGCUUAACAGUUGUGGGACUCCAGGAAAUUGAUCUGAGUGCCUUAGUUUCUUCACGCCUACAGAACCCGCCUUGUGGAAUUGCUGUGAGGAUUAAAUGGGCCUUUAUGUGUAAUGCAUUUAGUGACUAUUCAGUAAAUGCGAGCUAUAUUAUUAUCAUCAUCACGUGCUAGAUCCUGGGAGAGGGAUGAAAAGCGGAAGGCAUAACGCCCCAACAAGUGCACGGCUGCCAAAGAGGAGCAGGAAAAGUAACUAUGCGCAGAGUGCAAAAACCCAGCAGUGAGCUUACGGCGCCUUCAGAAAGCGACGAGGUUCCCAGGGUGCUCCUCAGCGCGGGAGUCGGUGAAGCUGCAGCUGAGGCCAGGCGGGGGAGGCGGGGCGGGGGCUCACGGAGUGGCUGGGGCGCAGGCCCCGCCUCCCAAACUCCCGCCCUUUCGGAGAGCCCUGCCGCUCCAGCCAGCGCUCCAGAGAGGACUGCAUCGCCUUAG
rnacentral:lncRNA from 1 species